GGAUCCGGCGUUGCUGCGAGCUGUGGUGUAGGUUGCGUACAUGGCUGGGAUCCCACCAUUGCUGUGCCUGUGGCAUAGGCCAGUAGCUGUAGCUCCUGUAGUUCCUAUUCAACCCCUAGCCUGGGAACUUCCAUAUGCCUCAGGUGCGGCCCUAAAAAAGGCCAAAAAAAAAAAAAGAAUAACAUUAAGUAUUUUUCAUAUGUUUUCAAAGAAGUUCAGUGUAUGAAAAUAUGUAUGUGCACCUUUCUAAACAUGCAUUUUGCUUUGAAAUUGUGUAGUUGAUGAGUUUUACUUGCUUAGUCAACACUUGAAAAGUUUUAAGAAGUAAAAACUGUUUAUCCUGUGUAAGAAUUUUAAGAUACCAUAGAAAAAGCUGUAGUUUUAAUAAGGUUGAUUUGUCAAAAUACACCCUACUUCCAGAUUAUUCAUUUCAGCCUAACACGGUAACUCUAUUUUUCCUACCAAAUAUUGAUUUAGAAAAGAGCAGGUGCAGUAAUCCAGGCCUAUGAGACAAGAGCAGAAUCAGCUGAGGAAUUCUGCCAAGUUUUCUUGUUCAUUAGAAAAAAAAAAAAUAGGAAGACAUUCCCUCUUCUUUCUCUGAAUGUUAAGACAUUAAGAUGCUGCACCCAUCCUGUGACCACCACUGAGAAGCCAAUGGUACAGGCAAGAGAUGGGGAGAACCUGCAUCUUUAGUGGCAUCUUUGGAUUGGGCUGUGCCUGGAGCCCACCAUAGCACCUUAGACUUCUUGUAAUGUAAGAUCAUAAAUUUUAGCUAGUCUGAGUCUGUUUUUUUUUUUUUUUCUUACCUGUAAUUGAAAAACCUCCUAAAUGAAAAAGAAUAGAUAAUGAAACCUUACGGGUGAAAUAGAACAGCCCAGAAGAACAAAAUGGAACUACAGCAACAAAGACAGAAUAUUAAAGAGAGAAGCAAAUCUCUAUGAGAAGUAGAGUGAAAUGUCCAAAGGCUAAUCAAAAAAAGUACCAGGUGCAAUUAAAUGAACUGUAUUCAGUGUUGAGCAUCACACAUUCAGUGUUUAUAGCUUAUGUGCUCUCAUGCAAGAUGUUGGUGAGAAGUGUUAAUCAAAUUAAUUUUUAUUUUAACUUUAUUAACAACUAUGAGGACAGGCUAGAACUAUGGAUAUUACUUUCCAGAAUAUUCCAGAUAAUAUGUUUAAAAAAUUAAUUAGGGAAGUUCCCAGGCUAGGGGUCAAAUCGGAGCUAUAGCUGCCAGCCUCUGCCACAGCCACAGCAAUGUGGGAUCUGAGCCGUGUCUGUGACCUACACCACAACUCACGGCAACUCCAGAUCCUUAACCCACUGAGCAUGGUCAGGAAUUGAACCUAUGUCUUCAUGGAUGCUAGUCAGAUUUGUUAACCACUGAGCCACGACAGGAACUCCAUCAUCUGAAGUAUUUUUAACUUUUCUUCAAGGACUACUUUUAUCUUUAGAAAAGAGCAUUUUCAAAGGACACAUUUUAGAAAGCACAAUUUUGAUUGUCUUUGUCUUAUGUAUUCUAUUUUAAAAUUAAUUAAAGCAAACUGGGGAUAAAUAAUCGGUGUAUCUGAGAUAAAGACAAUGUCCACAUGUGUUUUAAUUUAAUUGCUUUUUAAAGAGCACAGGGGAAGACUAAGCAGUCAAAUAAAUUUUCCAGGCUAUCUGUAAUAAGCAGAAGGAGUCAGCUCAUUAAAUAUAUGCAGUGGAAUGAUAAAUAACAGAUGAAGUGUUUUAUCCAUAUAGGAAAGAGAAUAAAGUAUGUGUGGAUUUGAACCUGUCCAAGUCCAAUCAUCACUGAAUCCCACUGUCCCCUGCUGUCAACCCAAAGCAUUCACAACUUUACAACUGGAUUGAAUGGCUGAUAUAAGUACGAAGUUAGUUGAUUAGUUUCAGUGACAUUAUGCUGUAUGGUCUCCCAAACUGAGGUCUACAGAAGACUCAUCUCAUGAAGUGCUCUUAGUAAGGAGUAAAGAAAGCAAAUGAGGCCAAAUGUAGACAGUUGUCAAUCUGGAUUAAGGGUCCUUUCAAUUUCCACAGGUUUGAAAAUUUUCAACAUCAGAAGUUGGUGGAGGAAGGGGGAAUAAGGCAGAGGCUAGGUCCAAGAAGUUAAUUGGUGUUAGAAAUUAACCUUUAAAUACAGUGAGGACAGUAGCAUAAUUUAAGGGUCAUUGUGAGAAAACAUGUACGCAGGUACUUAGGAGAAAGUUUCUAUGCAUCGUUCCAGAUGAAUCUCCUUGUCUGAAAGGCAGUGGGACAGUAGUUGGGCUGCUGAGGCAUUGCCUGCUUUCCUAUCUAGGGGAUCUCUUUCCUUCUGAGUUUAGCCUAGUCCCAUAUUUGAUACAAAGGUGUCUAUGGCCAUACAAUAGUGAGCUAAUGGUACUUGCAUUAGGAUGAUCUGCCUUUUAAAAGUCAUAAACCCUUAUUUUUGUUGGAUUAUAAUAUAGGGAUAAUUGGAAUGUAAUUUCUUCAACAUAAAUAAUAAAUACUUAGAAUGUGGCACACUUAUCUAGAUAAAUUACAAUUUCUACAGAUUUUUCUCUAUAGUAAUUUAAACUCAAAUUUUGUGAUUACAUACUGUAGCUUAAAAAAGCAUCCAUUAUGGGAAAGCCUUAACAAACAUAACUAGCAUCUUCUGUAUGUUUUAAAACCUACCAAAAUUAAUUUGAUAUGUUUUUUGUAGUUGUUUCAUUGAUGUUAGAAAUUGGAAUUUCUUUGUUUGACAUUUGACUAUACGGAUUCAUAAGUUAAACAGUUCAUUAAUUGGGUACAGGUAGGCAUAAGUAUUCUUUUUAUCAUUGAAAUAAGGCCUAUUUUGAAAUAACUAAAUAAUUGUUAGCAAGAAGUUUUGUUUUGUUUUGUUUUAACUACGAGGCUAUUCAAUGUUCAUUAAAUUUAUUUUGACUUCACAAAUAUUUCUCUGUAAGAAUGUUGUUUUCCCAGUUGCCUUGCCAUUUGAACUUACUUUGUCAUUUUUAUAUGGUUGAAGACUAGCUCCUUGGUUCUUUUUUUUUUUUUUUUUCUCUCCAGAGGUUCAUAGUGUAUUGUCUUACAUGUCAGAUGCCAAAUGUUUAACUAUAAAUAUGUUCAGUUAUCGCUGAGAAACAACCAUUUUAAUUCCCAGAGUGUCUUAAUAUUCUAGUAUCCAUGAAACUCACAUAGCCAUUUAUUUUUUUAAUUUUUUUUUCUCCUCUGCUUCCCAGUGCCACAGCCAUGGCAUAUGGAAAUUCCCAGCCUAGGGGUCCAAUUGGAGCUAUAGCCGCCAGCCUAGGCCACAGCCACAACAACAUCAGAUCCAAGCUGCAUCUGCGACCUACACCACAGCUCACAGCAAUACCAGAUCUUUAACCCACUGAGUGAGGCCAGGGAUCAAGUCCACAACUUCAUGGUUCCAUAGUCAGAUUCAUUUCUGCUGCACUAUGACAAGAACUCCUCACACAGCCAUUUAUGUUGAAAUCAAGAUCAUUUGGGGAUGGAAAUGCUUUAUGGUCAUCAAGCCCUUCAGAGCUACCAGCAGAGCAGGUCUGUCAUAAUUUAAGUCAAAUCAAUAACUAAAAUAGCAUCUUUGCUAGGUUCUUCUAGGCCUUGCAGCAGUAAGCUCCCUUGAACAGAUCUAAUAUUGACCUUGUUUAAGGGAAGCUUUCAUGUAUUUGCUGAGGUAUUUGUUGACUUUCAAAAGACAACUUCAAUGCAAAGCGUUUUGUAAGUACAUGACAUACUGUUAGUAUAAACUUAUGAAGAGUUUCAAGUGUAGCCUGGUAAAAAUCCUGUCUCUACAUAGUUACAUAAUUCUAAAGCACAGAAAAGACAGACAUCUGACCCAAAAUGAACUUGAAGGAAUCGGGGUUGGCAGUGAGAGUGCAAAAAUAGACAUAUGCAGGAAAACCUUUAGAAUGUAAUUUAUUAUUCAGAUUUCGAUUAAAAUAGUUGGAUUAGAUGAUUCUCCCACGUGGCUAUAGCCAUAUCCAGAAGUCUUUUAGCUUUACUUCCAAGCACAACAACAACCUUCAUCUGUCAGCCAAACUAAAGGCUUUCCCUUGUAACUGCCCAUAUAUAGCCCAGUUUGAAGCUCCCCCAGGUUGGUAGAUGGUCAUUGCUAUGCUCAGUGUUGCCCUGUUGCCAUUUCCCUUAUGACAUGAAAACUGUUUUCCUGAACAUUAGGCCUGUAGAGUCAUGGCUUAAGUAAAGCCAGAGGGGCCUGGAUGGCUUUGUGAAGAUGGUGGAUCUCUGAGUGAUACAAGAAAACAGUGGAUAUUCCUCAUCCUCCUGGAAGACAGCUUCCAGGAUUAUUCACUGAAAAUUUGUGCUUCAUGUAACUCUCUAAAAUUCUCCAGUGUUGACAUGGUAAUAAUGAUUUCCCAUAAAUAGAGUGGAUAUACACUAUGCAUUUUUGAUUAUUCACUAAAUGUUUGAAGUAACUGUGAAUUCUGCAAAAUCGUCAAAGGAGUUCUUCAAUGCAUUAAUUUUAUAAAAAGAUGGUGACAUUUCUUUGCACAGCUGGACAUUAAUAUUUACUAUAUGUUUUGUACGUGGGAAAUUAUUUUGGCCAUUGUCCUAUUCUUACAGUGUGACACUGAAAGCCCUCUGUCAAAAGAUGAGAAUUUGUUAUCUUUCCUUGGUGGCAUAGCAGACUGUUACAGUGCCUCAAAUCUUAAAAUAAGAGGCUUUGACUUCCAAGCCACAUCAUUAAAGACUUCACAGGGUCCAUCUUGUUUUCUUGGAUUGUUGAAUUAUGGGGCCGGGUAUCAUGUCAUGAGGACCUUGAAGCAAUCCUUUGGGAACAGACAGCUAUGUGGAGAGAGCCUGAGGCCACCAGCUAACACCCACUUGUCAGCCUUGUGAGUGAGCCUCCUGGGGAACUGAUCCCUAGCUCCAGUCAAACCCUUAAUGGGUCCUUCAGGCUCAACCAACCCAUCACUACACUGCGUGAAAGACCCUAAACUAGACGUACCCAGUCCAAUUUCUCAGGUUCCUGUCCAACAAAGACUAUGAAAAAUAAUAAGCCAUCAUUACUGCUUUGAUCCACUAUGUUUUGGGGUGGUUGCUUUCUGUAGCAGUUGUUAGCAGACACUUAUUUUGGUUGCAUAUGUAUGUUCAUUAUAUGUUCUUCUUUUGUGCAUGUGGAGAAAUGGGCUUUCUGGCUGCUAAACAGCAGGAGGUAGAGACCUUGUUUGGAAAAGGCCUUUGAAUCUACUUUCUCCUUCCAAGAAAUAUGUGGCCUUGCAGAUGCUGAACUUGACUUAAGAACAAGGAGUUCUCAGAGUUUCUAAACAAUGUACAAAAGUUUAUGCAUUGUUAAAGUCCUUCUUAAAAAGGUUAUUUAAGCUCACAGAAGAAAAGGUGGCCUUCUAGCAAAAAUCUGAGCUUUUCAGACCUGGUAAAAUUCCUUUCUUGAGUGUACAGUGUUACUCCAUCUGUGAAUGUCCAUGUGGACUCCUGGGCUCAGGAAGGCUCUGCUGUAAGAGACUGAGUCAGCUCCAGCCUUGCCUCUUAAGACCAGACAUCAUAAUUAAGGGGAGUAAAGAAUUAAUCUUGUGUGAACUCUUCCCACCCAGCUAACCAAUGUGAAAAGCAACAGUGAAAGAAGAAAAUGACAGAAGUCAAGUUGAUUACUUAUGUAGGUGAAUUAGUCAGGAUUCUCCAGAGAAAUAGAAGCAAUAUAUGUAGUUGACCCUAAAUAAUGGUGACAUGAGGGGAACCAACCAUCCCCGCCCCACACAGUUUAAAACCCGUGUAUAAUUUUAAGUGGGCCCUGUAUCUGCGGUUCUACAUCUGUAACCAGUCGCAGAUCCUGUAGUACUAUAGUUCAUAUGAACUGAAAAAAAAUCCACCUAUACAUGGAACUGAGAGGUUCAAAGCUGUGUUCAAGGGUCCACUAUGGGAGUUCCCAUUGUGGCACAGUGGAAACGAACCGACUAGCAUCCAUGAGGAUGUGGGUUUGAUCCCUGGCCCUGCUCAGUGGGUUAAGGAUCCAGCAUUGCCCUGAGCUAUGUUGUAGGCUGGCAGCUGCAGCUCUGAUUUGACGCCUAGCCUGGAAACUUCCAUAUGCUGUGGGUAUAACCCUAAAAAGAAAAAAAAAA
rnacentral:lncRNA from 1 species